GUGGGGAAUCUUGCGCAAUGGGCGAAAGCCUGACGCAGCCAUGCCGCGUGAAUGAUGAAGGUCUUAGGAUUGUAAAAUUCUUUCACCGGGGACGAUAAUGACGGUACCCGGAGAAGAAGCUCCGGCUAACUUCGUGCCAGCAGCCGCGGUAAUACGAAGGGGGCUAGCGUUGCUCGGAAUUACUGGGCGUAAAGGGCGCGUAGGCGGACAGCUUAGUCAGAGGUGAAAGCCCAGGGCUCAACCUUGGAAUUGCCUUUGAUACUGGCUGUCUUGAGUUUGGGAGAGGUGAGUGGAACUCCGAGUGUAGAGGUGAAAUUCGUAGAUAUUCGGAAGAACACCAGUGGCGAAGGCGACUCAGUGGCCCAAUACUGACGCUGAGGCGCGAAAGCGUGGGGAGCAAACAGGAUUAGAAACCCGUGUAGUCC
rnacentral:rRNA from 1 species